GAGUUUGAUCCUGGCUCACGACGAACGCUGGCGGCGUGCCUAAUACAUGCAAGUCGAGCGAGCUUGCCUAGAUGAUUUUAGUGCUUGCACUAAAUGAAACUAGAUACAAGCGAGCGGCGGACGGGUGAGUAACACGUGGGUAACCUGCCCAAGAGACUGGGAUAACACCUGGAAACAGAUGCUAAUACCGGAUAACAACACUAGACGCAUGUCUAGAGUUUGAAAGAUGGUUCUGCUAUCACUCUUGGAUGGACCUGCGGUGCAUUAGCUAGUUGGUAAGGUAACGGCUUACCAAGGCAAUGAUGCAUAGCCGAGUUGAGAGACUGAUCGGCCACAUUGGGACUGAGACACGGCCCAAACUCCUACGGGAGGCAGCAGUAGGGAAUCUUCCACAAUGGACGAAAGUCUGAUGGAGCAACGCCGCGUGAGUGAAGAAGGGUUUCGGCUCGUAAAGCUCUGUUGGUAGUGAAGAAAGAUAGAGGUAGUAACUGGCCUUUAUUUGACGGUAAUUA
rnacentral:rRNA from 1 species